GCAACAUAUUAACGAAUUCCAGGAACAUCUCACCAAUGCACACAGUCAAAAAGUCCUCAUCGUUCUGACAACAUAUUAGAAAGCAGAGGAUUAGAAGGAUGGACAGACACUGCCUCUGCAUACCUGAUCGAAGGCUUGCUCUGUGGAAUCCUGAAGCCUCUCCAGGAACUUCUCGUUGACCUCGAUGAGCUCCUGGAUGUUACUGAAGACCACGGCCAGCUGCUCUGGGAUCUGAUGAAGAGACCCGGAUCUGAAACAUUAACUCAUUUCUCUUCCUGAGAUAUUGGGUGUCAACAUCUCAGAGCAUCUAUCCUGGUCCUCACACCUUGAUGGAAUCGUAAAGAAGGCAAGCUAGCAGCUGUACUUCAUCAAGAAUUUGAGGAUAUUUGGUAUGUCAUCAAAGACUCUUGCAACUUUCUACAGAUGUAUCAUGGAGAGCUUUGUGUCCUGUUGCAUCAUCGUUUGGUAUGGAGGCUCCACAGUACAGGAUCCCAGGAGGCUACAGAGAGUUGCUAACCCAGCCAACUCUAUCAUGGGCACAACCUUCCCUGCCAUCAAGGACAUCUUCUAUAGAUGGUGUCUCAGGAAGGUGGCGACGCAUCUUUAAGGAACCUCACCACUCAGUACAUGUCUUCUCAUUACUACCGUGGGGGGGGGGGGGAGGGGGGAGAGGAUGGUACAAGAGCCCACAAACCCACAAUCAAUGUUUUCAGAACAACUUUCUUCCUCUCCGCCAUCGGAUUUCUGAACAGUUCAUCAACCCAUGAAUGCUACCUAAUAGUUCGUCUUUAACAUUAGUCAGUUUUGUAGCUUAACGUAAUCUUUAUAUCUUCCAGUACUGCUGCGGAAAAAGUAUAAAUCUCAUGACCCUUCAUCAGGACACCUCAGCCCAAAGUGUCAAUGCUUUACUCCUUUCUGCAGACACCUGGGACAGAAGCUGUCCUUGAUUCUCUGAAAUCUGGAGCAAUGCAAAGGAUGCUGGGAAAACUCAGCCGGUCAGUCAGCAUCUAUAGAGGAAAAUGACCUUGCAUCAGGACUCUGUCCUGACACAACCUCAACUCUCAAUCUCCCUCCACAGAUACAACCUGAGUUCCUUCAGCAUCUACAGUCGACUGCUUUUCUCUCCAUCUGUGCUGUCUGACCUGCUGAGAUUUAACAGAAUUUUUUCUCUGUUUCAGAUCUUCCUGUAUCUGCAGUUUGUCGAUUUUCGUUUAAGUUCACUUGAUUAAAGAUUGCUGCUUAAAAGAACUGUGCCCACAGAACAAUCAUAUUGAUGUUCAGCUUUAACUGUGUCAUGAUAACCUUCCUUACUUCAAUGUUAUUAGACUCCUGACUGGACUUCUUGUGCACUAACUUAUGCUAGGCUAACCUUACCUCUCAACCUCCCAUUGUGGUCCUUGCACCGUGUCAUCUGCCUACACUUUCUCCAUAAAUUUGAUACUAUAUUCUGCAUUCAGUUGUUGGUUUCCUUUUAGAAAACAGAACACCACAGCACAGUAUACGAUGUUGUAGCAACCACUUAACGUACUCUAACUUCAAACUAACUCUUCCCUUCUAUAUCCCUCUAUUUUUCUAUCAUCCAUGUGCCUAUCAAAGAGUUUAGUAAAUACCCUAAUGUAUCUGCCUCUACCACCACCCCUGGCAGAGUGUUCCACAUACCCACCACUCUGAUAAAGAACUUACCUACACUUUCCUGUAAUCACCUUAAAAUACUGGCAAUUCCCACCCUGGGAAGAGCUCUGUGUCUGCCCACUCAAUUUAUGCC